GAUGAACGCUAGCUACAGGCUUAACACAUGCAAGUCGAGGGCAGCAUGAACAAGCUUGCUUGUUGAUUGGCGACCGGCGCACGGGUGAGUAACGCGUAUCCAACCUGCCCCGUACUCGGGUAUAGCCCAGCGAAAGCUGGAUUAAUCCCCGAUGUCACCUUUAUGGUGCAUGCCAUAUUGGUUAAAGUUAUUCGGUACGGGAUGGGGAUGCGUCUGAUUAGGUAGUAGGCGGGUAACGGCCCACCUAGCCGACGAUCAGUAGGGGUUCUGAGAGGAAGGUCCCCCACACUGGAACUGAGACACGGCCCAGACUCCUACGGGAGGCAGCAGUGGGGGAUAUUGGACAAUGGGGGCAACCCUUAUCCAGCGACGCCGCGUGAGGGAAGAAGGUUUUCGGAUUGUAAACCUCUGUCAGUGGGGACGAUAAUGACGGUACCCACGGAGGAAGCCACGGCUAACUACGUG
rnacentral:rRNA from 1 species